GGGUCCGUAGCUCAACUGGAUAGAGCUCCCGGCUUUUACCCGGGAGGUUCCGAGUUCGAACCUCGGCGGGCCCACCA
rnacentral:tRNA from 1 species